rnacentral:rRNA from 1 species
CCAGACUCCUACGGGAGGCAGCAGUGAGGAAUAUUGGUCAAUGGGCGCGAGCCUGAACCAGCCAAGUCGCGUGAGGGAAGACGGCCCUACGGGUUGUAAACCUCUUUUGUCGGGGAGCAAAGCGAACCACGUGUGGUUCAUUGAGAGUACCCGAAGAAAAAGCAUCGGCUAACUCCGUGCCAGCAGCCGCGGUAAUACGGAGGAUGCGAGCGUUAUCCGGAUUUAUUGGGUUUAAAGGGUGCGCAGGCGGAGGUGCAAGUCAGCGGUCAAAUUGCGGGGCUCAACCCCGUGCUGCCGUUGAAACUGCAUGCCUUGAGUGCGCGAGAAGUAUGCGGAAUGCGUGGUG